GAUUAAGUUAUUAAGGGCGCACGGUGGAUGCCUUGGCACUAGAAGCCGAUGAAGGACGUUACUAACGACGAUAUGCUUUGGGGAGCUGUAAGUAAGCUUUGAUCCAGAGAUUUCCGAAUGGGGAAACCCAGCAUGAGUUAUGUCAUGUUAUCGAUAUGUGAAUACAUAGCAUAUCAGA
rnacentral:rRNA from 1 species